GUAUGUUUGAAAGUUUGCAUCAUGACAGGGAAAAAGAAAAAAAAAGAAGACUUCUUUAACAGUUACUAGUCUUUUCAAAUAAAGAGAUAAUUCUAAUGACCAGAUUGGAAGUCUAAAUCAAACGUAUCACAUUAAGGAAUGUACCUUCAAGUUUGUUGUUAAAUUUUAAGUUGGUAAGCCUGACUUGCAGGCCAUUGAGGAUCAGAAUAAAAUGUGAUUUACUAAAGGAAUUGAAUGACAGCUUAUGGUCUGCAUUCAUUGCCACUGGAUAAUUUUUUUAAGACUUUAUUUUUUAGAGUCGUUCUAGGUUCAGAGCAAAAUCAAACGGAAGGUACAGAGAUUUCUCGUCUCUCCCCUGUCUGCACACUUGCAUAGUCUACCCUAUUAUCAAUAUUCCCCACCAGAGUGGUGCACUUAUUAAACUGAUAAAUUGUAUGUUGACCCGUCAUUGUCACCCUAAAUUGGUAGUGUACACUAGGGUUCACUCUCAGUCUUGUAUAUUCUGUGGCUUUGAGUAAAUGUGUAUGACAUAUAUCCACCAUUAUGAUAUAUACAGAAUACUUUCACCUCACUAGAGAAUUCUUGCUACUUCUUUGCUCCUGUUGAAUGAGGAGGUGACUCUGGUAGCCAUGUGUGGUUCCUUUGAACCUCAUGAGUGUGAUUCCCUAUAGGUAGAGCCAACGAGGAAGACUGAGGCCAGACCUCUCAUCUCACAGGGUACCUAGCUGUCCUCUAUCCCCACACCUCAGACUCCUCAGGAGAGAUGUCUGUGGAGCUGUGGAAAGGUACCUUCUUUAUGCAAAUGAAGAGACUAUGUGCUUGGAUUUUCUCGAUGACGAUUCCUGAUUCGUGGCCCUGGCAGUCUUGGGGAAGCGUUGUCGAGUUUCUUCAAUCCAGACCUUGGGGCCUCCUUUUUCUCCACAUCACUCCCACCCAGUUGAUCGAACCACUUUCUAGGACAUAUGAUAAGAAUCACAACCCUUCCCUCCCAGNUUUGUUUGUUUGUUUGUUUGUUUGUUUUGUUUUGUUUUGUUUGCAGGAUAAGAAUCACAACCCUUCCCUCCCAGCAUUAUUUUGAAGAUCAACCAAAAUCCAAAUGUGAGAGAUUAAUAUGAAGGGCU
rnacentral:lncRNA from 1 species